rnacentral:rRNA from 1 species
GAUGAACGCUAGCGGCAGGCCUAAUACAUGCAAGUCGAACGGUAAGGCCCUUUCGGGGUACACGAGUGGCGGACGGGUGCGUAACGCGUAUGCAACAUGCCUUCCAGCGGGGGAUAUACCAGGGAAACUUGGCGCAAUACCCCAUAGAAUUACGGGACCGCAUGGUCUUGUGAUUAAAACUCCGGUGCUGGGAGAUUGGCAUGCGUGACAUUAGCUUGUUGGUGAGGUAACGGCUCACCAAGGCUCUGAUCAAUAGCCGACCUGAGAGGGUGACCGGCCACACUGGGAUUGGGAUACGGCCCAGACUCCUACGGGGGGCAGCAGUCUAGAAGCAUCGACAAUGGGGGCAACCCUGAUCGUGCGACGCCGCGUGCAGGACGAAGGUCUUCGGAUCGUAAACUGCUUUCGCAAGGGA